GAUGAACGCUGGCGGCGUGCCUAAUACAUGCAAGUCGAGCGAACAGAUGAGGAGCUUGCUCCUCUGACGUUAGCGGCGGACGGGUGAGUAACACGUGGAUAACCUACCUAUAAGACUGGGAUAACUUCGGGAAACCGGAGCUAAUACCGGAUAAUAUAUUGAACCGCAUGGUUCAAUAGUGAAAGACGGUUUUGCUGUCACUUAUAGAUGGAUCCGCGCCGCAUUAGCUAGUUGGUAAGGUAACGGCUUACCAAGGCAACGAUGCGUAGCCGACCUGAGAGGGGGAUCCGCCCAACUGGAACUGAGAAACGGUCCAGAAUCCUAAGGGAGGCAGCAGGAGGGAAUCUUCCGCAAUGGGCGAAAGCCUGACGGAGCAACGCCGCGUGAGUGAUGAAGGUCUUCGGAUCGUAAAACUCUGUUAUUAGGGAAGAACAAAUGUGUAAGUAACUAUGCACGUCUUGACGGUACCUAAUCAGAAAGCCACGGCUAACUACGUG
rnacentral:rRNA from 1 species